rnacentral:rRNA from 1 species
GAUGAACGCUGGCGGCGUGCUUAACACAUGCAAGUCGAACGGAAAGGCUCCUGCUUGCAGGGGUACUCGAGUGGCGAACGGGUGAGUAACACGUGGGUGAUCUGCCCUGCACUUCGGGAUAAGCCUGGGAAACUGGGUCUAAUACCGGAUAGGACGAUGGUUUGGAUGCCAUUGUGGAAAGUUUUUCGGUGUGGGAUGAGCUCGCGGCCUAUCAGCUUGUUGGUGGGGUAAUGGCCUACCAAGGCGUCGACGGGUAGCCGGCCUGAGAGGGUGUACGGCCACAUUGGGACUGAGAUACGGCCCAGACUCCUACGGGAGGCAGCAGUGCGGAAUAUUGCACAAUGGGCGCAAGCCUGAUGCAGCGACGCCGCGUGGGGGAUGACGGCCUUCGGGUUGUAAACUCCUUUCGCUAGGGACGAAGCGCAAGUGACGGUACCUGGAGAAGAAGCACCGGCUAACUACGUG